rnacentral:rRNA from 1 species
ACGAACGCUGGCGGCGUGCUUAACACAUGCAAGUCGAACGGAAAGGCCUCUUUCGGGGGGUACUCGAGUGGCGAACGGGUGAGUAACACGUGAGUAACCUGCCCUUGACUUUGGGAUAACUUCAGGAAACUGGGGCUAAUACCGGAUAGGAGCUCCUGCUGCAUGGUGGGGGUUGGAAAGUUUCGGCGGUUGGGGAUGGACUCGCGGCUUAUCAGCUUGUUGGUGGGGUAGUGGCUUACCAAGGCUUUGACGGGUAGCCGGCCUGAGAGGGUGACCGGCCACAUUGGGACUGAGAUACGGCCCAGACUCCUACGGGAGGCAGAAGUGGGGAAUAUUGCACAAUGGGUGGAAGCCUGAUGCAGCAACGCCGUGUGCGGGAUGACGGCCUUCGGGUUGUAAACCGCUUUCGCUCAUGACGAAGCUUUGUGUGACGGUAGUGGGUAAAGAAGCACCGGCUAACUACGUG